UAUGUGCAAAAAUCUGUAAUAAAAAAUCCAUCAAAUAAUUUUAAUGUGUUAAAGAAUAAUUGUUGAAAGAAUUUGUGCUGAACCAAAAAGAAAAAUAAAUAAAAAGCAAAAGCAAAGGCAAAAAAAUUUCGAAAUUCAAAUGGGCAACUAUUGAAUGGCGGCCAUUAGUGGCCCCAAGCGGCAUCCAUUGAGCAAUCAACACCAUUUCUCCCAUCCAAAUACCACCAACACCAACACCAAUACCAAUACCAAGAACACCACCACCAAUAGCACCAACAUCACUUGCAACAACAACACCAUCACCAGCAACAACAAUAGUUAUCAAACGCCAGCUAAUCCCCAGCACAAAGCACAUAGUAAUAAUAACUCCUCCACCACCAACAACAAUAGUAACAACAACAAUUCAAAAAUCAGCUGCAUCCAGAGCUGCACAGAUUCUUCAGCUGCUGCUCCGCGUAACUCAAUGAGCGUAUCGAUGUCACUGGUACAGGGUGGUGCUGCCGGUGGUGCGCCACAGGGCGCUAGCGCGAUUUUAGCCGCUGCGGCUCCAUAUUAUCAACCGCCAGCUGUGCCACAGGAUGUUCAACCGGAUCGUCCAAUUGGCUAUGGAGCAUUCGGAGUUGUCUGGGCUGUCACAGAUCCCAGGGAUGGGCGACGCGUUGCACUCAAAAAGCUGCCAAAUGUUUUCCAAUCUUUGGUCUCAUCCAAGCGCGUUUUCCGGGAACUCAAAAUGCUCUGCUUUUUCAAGCAUGAGAAUGUGCUUUCAGCUUUGGACAUUUUGCAGCCACCACAUUUGGACUUCUUUCAGGAAAUCUAUGUAAUUACUGAACUGUUGCAAUCGGAUCUGCACAAGAUCAUUGUGUCGCCACAGCAUUUAUCCGCCGAUCACAUCAAAGUGUUUCUCUAUCAGAUACUUCGUGGAUUGAAGUAUCUGCACUCGGCAAGGAUUCUGCAUCGGGAUAUUAAGCCUGGCAAUCUGUUGGUCAAUUCGAAUUGUGUGCUCAAGAUAUGCGAUUUUGGAUUGGCCCGUGUCGAGGAACCCGAUCAGGCCAAGCACAUGACCCAAGAGGUGGUCACACAAUAUUAUCGAGCACCCGAAAUUCUAAUGGGUGCCCGCCAUUAUUCGUCGGCUGUGGAUGUUUGGUCGGUGGGCUGCAUUUUCGGUGAACUGCUCGGCAGACGCAUCCUGUUCCAGGCGCAGAAUCCCGUGCAGCAAUUGGAGCUGAUUACCGAGCUACUGGGCACACCCACCAUGGAGGACAUGCGUCACGCCUGCGAAGGAGCACGCACACACAUGUUGAGGCGGGCCCCAAAGCCGCCAUCUUUCUCGGUGCUCUACACACUCAGCUCACAUGCGACACACGAGGCUGUACACUUGCUCUGCCAGAUGCUUGUCUUUGAUCCGGAUAAGCGCAUUUCGGUGACGGAUGCCUUGGCGCAUCCGUAUCUGGAUGAGGGUCGUCUGCGGUACCAUUCGUGCAUGUGCAAAUGCUGCUUCACUACCUCGGCUGGCAUGCGUCAGUAUACGGCGGACUUUGAGCCAUCGGCCGGACAACCCUUUGAUGAUUUAUGGGAACGCAAACUCACCUCCGUGCAGCAGGUGAAGGAGGAAAUGCAUAAAUUCAUUGCCGAGCAGCUGCAAACGGGCCGUGUGCCACUUUGCAUCAAUCCGCAGAGUGCGGCAUUCAAAAGCUUUGCCAGCCAAUGAGAUUGAGAAUAUCUACUACUACUACUCGUACUACCAAUACCACUACCAAUACUACUACUACCACAACUUGCACUGCUGCUCCUGCCGCUGCUGCUGCUGUCGCUGCUGCUGCUGCUGCCAACUCUGCCGUCGCGCUGCCGCUGCGCUGCCUCUGCCGACAAGAAAUACUAGGCGCCUGCUAGGCGCGAAAUGAUACCAUACAUAUAUAUAAAAUAAUAUAUAUAUACCUACCGAUAAAUAGUCAAGAAUGAAUCGAGAUUCAAGCAGAAGUCACAAAAAACUGCCGUCAGAAACAGAAUCUGAAAUUAAAGAGAGCAGAAAGAAGAAAGAAAGCAAGCAAGAGAAAUAAAUAAUGAAAGAAACCAAACCAUACAAAUACAAAAAAAUAUAAAAAUACUAAAUAUAAAAAAAAAAAUACCAAUAUCAAAUCGAAUCGAGUCCAAAACAAUUGUUGGGGGAAAUCGGCAGCAGCAACUUCUUCUUCUUAAACUUUAGCUCCACUGUGGCACAUCCUUCGGAGCUGCCGCCGUCGCCACAUCAAUGGGAAUGACGGCAAAAUGAGGCGAUUGCUGCCUAAAAUAUGAAAAGCAACACAACAACAACAAUGGAAACAACAACUGCAACAACAAAAUGAAAAAUAUUUGAUUUACACACCAGGAAAAUUUUACAAGCAAGUUGCAACAGGAACUUGACGCCAACUACCAAAACUCAAGAAGAAAUAAACAAUUUUAGCCACUUAAGCGACGCAUUCUGAGAAUUUUCUCAGAACAAGAAGAAAAAGCAGAAGCAGAGGAAGCAGAGGAAGCAGAGCAAGCAGCAGAAAGAAAGGAAAGAUCAACAUUUAAAUUGAAAGCACAAAACACUUCCAAUCUUAAAAGUUUAAGCAUUCCACCACCGAAAUAAAUAAAGAAAUUAAAUAAAACAAACACAAAAUGUAACGUAACUCAACUGAAACUAGUCUAAAAAAAAAAAAGAACAACCACAAAAAAACACAACAAGAAGUAGUAAAAAGCAGCGGCAGAGACAAAAUUCGAUUAACUAUAAGAAUUAACAAAUUAUUAUAAAACAAAAGGGAUUACAAAAAAAACGCAAAAAAAUGAAAAGCGUAAACAAAAAUUAUCUUGACAACAAAGCAGAAAAUUUGUUGUGCUUGACAAAAUUGGUAGAAAAGCAAAAGAAAAUGUUAACAAAGAAAACAAAUACAAAAAAAAACAAACAAAACUCUAAACUAAACCAUGAAAUUUUUGGUCUAAUAAGCAAAAUUACUAAAAUGUUUUAUGUUUAGCGCUUAAAAUCUAUGUAAAUGAAUUAGCAACUAGACUAAAGGCCACAACCCCUUACGCCCACAUUUUCGUAUUAAAUGUUGCCCAAAAAACUAUGCAACACAUUUGCGAAUAUUGUAAUAAACAAAAGCAAGAAACUACAACUACAACUAAAACUAUAAAUUAUAAUUAAAACUACAAUUAAAAGUACACAUACACAUGCAGAAAUUUGUUUGCCAAAUUUACCUCACACACACAAACAACAAAUUUCUUUUGUGUUUAAAUUUAAAAUACAAAUGAAAAAAAAAACUCUCAAUGUGUAGCUGCAAAUUAACAAAGCAAAUGCUAAAUUAAAUUAAUUUCACAUUUAUAUUUAUAUAUAUAUAUAUUGGAUUUGCGCUUCAAUUUUGAAACUGGUUUCCAAACUAUGUAAAAUUUUGGGUAUGAGUGUUGAAUUCUAUGACAAAAUUAAAACUAGCAACUAAACUAUGCGUAUACUUAAUAUGAAUUAAAUGUGUACAUGUAUGUGUGUACUGUCUGUGUCGCUGUCUCUGAAUGUAAAUGGCAAAGGCAACACAACAAUUUUCAAACUAGUUAAAAAGUAAUGGGAAACAAAACAAAAGAAGAAAAAAACAAAAACAUUUUAACUGUGGACUGAUUAUGAAGCAUAAAUCAACAAUUAUGCAAUUAAACAAUUUAAUUUGUACUAAUUCUAAUACUUAUACUUAUGCUUAGUUAAUGACAAUUUAUGAAUAUUAUUAUAAUUAUUAUAAAAAAUAUUAUUUUAAAUGCAAAACUUAAGUUUAUAGCACACACAUUUCAACUCCAUAAAUAUAUAGAAAUUAAACUAAUUUAAAUAAAAACACAAACCAACAAGUGGACGACACACUGCCCCCAGUGAAUGUGCACAGGUGUUCUAUAGUUACACCACCAAAAUCACCGCCAACACCACAGAUUAAGACCGCAAGUAGUGAAAAUUCCACAGCAAUCUCAAUUUUAAUAAUCCACUGGCUUUUCUGUGUCUGUGUGCGUGUGUGUGUGAUUGUUUCUGAGUGUGUGUCUUGAACACCUUGCUAUUUCAAUUUAGUAUGUAUUUUCUGCAUUAAUUUAUCGUGUAAUAUAGUUUAAUUUCCAAACUCAUUUUUAAAAAUACGCAAACUCCAACCAUUUGUCUUCAUUUGUCGAAAUUUCUAUACUUUUUUUUAAUUAUCAACAAAUGCUCAUGCCAACUAAAUGCUAUAGAAAAAAAUGCAAAGAUUCAAGCUAAAAUUGAAUAUAUAUUAAAAAAAUAUAUAUAUAUGUGUAUGUAUGUUUAAGACUGAGUUAUCUCAUUUCCUUAUAAAAGAGAUGGUUGACAAGCGCAAUAUAUAAAAGGAAAAUAAUUGGCAUAAAUCAAUGAAUGGAAUUUGAAAUUAAUUGCUUGAAUUAUGUACUAAUGUAGCAAUCUAUAUAAAUCUAUGAAUGUGUGUAUUUGUAUUUUAAUGUCUUUCAACAAAUUCAAAGUUUAGCAACAUGCAAAAAAAAAAAAUGUAAACCCAUACAACAAAAAUGUUCUCGAAAUUGUAGAAUUGUGUGCUCACUUUCCAACCCAAAAAAAAUUCAGCUCUUCAACUCUAAACUGUGCUGCUUUCUUAUGUAUGUAGUUUUUAAUUAAAAAAAUAUAUAUAUAAAUAUAUGAUAUACUUAUAUAUGCAUUAAAAAGGGAAGAAGAUGAUGAGAAUAACAAAAUAAAAUAUGAAUUCAAACUUUCACGGAGAUCUCAUAGCAAAAAAAAGAAUAACGAAAAUUAGCUAAGAUUUGACGGUAAAAACUGUGAAAAUGGGGAAAAUCCGAAAAUGGAACCCGACCGUUAAAUCUGCCAGCGAUUUAUUUUCAAUUUUUAACAUAGCCACUACUUUUGUUUAUAAAUAACAAUUUUGUUUCUUAUAGACAACAAACAAAUGUAGACUACAAAUCUUUGUCAAACACAACUACACACACACACAUACACUAAAAUAAAUAUUACUUUAGUUUUUUAACUCGAAGAAGAAAGGAAAAAAAAGAAAUACAAUGCAAAAUUAUCAUCUACAUUAGAAAUUAAGAAAAUGUUUACCUACAUACAAUACAUACAUACAUGAUACAUACAUCAUUAUAUACAUAAAAUAAUAAUUGAAUAUAUUGUUUACUUUGGACUUAUGUAGGCACCAUGUACAUAACAUUAACACCCCACCAAUACCAAUACUUAUAUGAUAAUCCACACUUAACUCUAGUUUUUUUAGUUAAAAUGAAAGGACGUCAACUAAUAUAUAUAUAAUAACUAUAUACGAUUACGAUACGAUUAUUAUAUGUCAUGUACAUUUUCUUUGCACAUCUUUCAAUUUGCUUAAAACACACACAUAUUCAAAUUUAUUAGAAUAUAAUCUUAAAUUAAAUAUUAUCUUUGAUUUGUCAAUUUUAACUCUUGGAUUUCAUCACUUAUGUUUCAAUAAGUUUGACAUAUGUUUAACUGUUAGUUAAGUAUCAACUGCAUUAGUAUUUUGACCUAAACCAAUUGUGGAGCAGUACUAUAUAUACAUAACUAUAAAAAUAUCUGCUAAUUAUAUAGUAGUACCUACGUAUACCUAUUAUAAUAAACGAGGUAACGUUUUCAUAAUGGCUGCAGAUAAAGAUAACGAAUUAAGUGAGAGAAAUAAAAUUGUGUAAAACUGUUUGUAUAAAAAAAGCAA